AUUGUUUAAUACUUUAUUUCAUAUACUAUCUUACAAGCAGAUGCUUAUUUAUUUACAACUAUCAUUUGGAUUCACAGUUUUACUUUUUAGGACGCUACUGGAAUUUUAAUCUUGCUACAGUUUUUUCUUAUUAGGGAGGCUCAAGGGUAUGGGAAGGAAGAGGAAUGAAACAGAAAUAAGUGGUAACUGAAGUCUGUGAGAGGGGAGCCCUCUAAGUCGGCCUUACCUAGAAAGGCUUCCUGAGUGAGACUUGAUUUGAGAACCAUCCAGAAUUAGGUGACAGAAGGGAGGACUGCUGUCAGGCUUACAUUAAGAGAAAAAUAAGCUCUUUGGAGCAGUGGUGGCGCACGCCUUUAAUCCCAGCACUUGGGAGGCAGAGGCAGGUGGAUUUCUGAGUUCGAGGCCAGCGUGGACUACAGAGUGAGUUCCAGGACAGCCAGGACUGCACAGAGAAACCCUGUCUCAAAAAACCAAAAACCAGCUGGGCGUGGUGGUGCGCCUUUAAUCCCAGCACUUGGGAGGCAGAGGCAGGCGGAUUUCUGAGUUCGAGGCCAGCCUGGUCUACAAAGUGAGCUCCAGGACAGCCAGGGCUAUACAGAGAAACCCUGUCUUGAAAAACCCAAAAAAAAAAAAAAAAAAAAGCCCUUUGGAAUUUCUCAUUUUGUACAUGAUUUAAGAAUGACUCUUGUGUGGAGAUGGCAACCAGUGGGCAGCAGAACAACAUCGGCAUGGUGGUCAUCUGAGGAAACAGCAUUAUCAAGUUAGAAGCCUUGGAAAGAGUCUGACCAGUGUUCAGCAAGCAGUGUGUCCACAUCCCUCCCCAAAGGCCUGUUUGAUUGUGAUGUAGAAUUAGGUCGCGUACAUUUUCAUAUGGAACUUCUUACUAAAUAAACUUUUGUGAUACUCAAAAAAAAAAAAAAAAAAAAAAGACUCUCCCUUUCGUGUAUGCUCAGUACUUUAUAUUAAAAACAAAAAUCUGAGCCGGGCGUGGUGGCACACGCCUUUAAUCCCAGCACUCAGGAGGCAGAGGCUGGUGGAUUUCUGAGUUCGAGGCCAGCCUGGUCUACAAAGUGAGUUCCAGGACAGCCAGGGCUAUACAGAGAAACCCUGUCUCGAAAAAAACAAAAAAAACAAAACAAAAACAAAAACAAAAAUCUGGGCCUCAUGCAGUGUUUACUGUGAACUGUCCACUAUUUUCAGGUUCUUCCUGUAUUUACCCAUUUAACUCUUAAAUAAUGCUGUGAGAUCUGUCUCACUUCUUAGAUGAAGAAAUUGUUGCAGGACACAGAAGUGGAAUUUGAAGCCAGGCAUUCAGACUUCAGAAUCCUUAACCUUACCCAAGAUGACUGCAAGGUCUUGCUUUUAGAUAAGGGGGAACCACUAGUACAUGAAAGGCAGAGCCAGGCAGAUCAGGGGUUCAAGGACAUCUUUGACCAUAGUAGGACUUGUCCAAAUAAAUAAAUUCCGUAACGGUUCUUAAGACUUCUUUAUACAGCAAACUUAACAAAAUACAGUGGUCUCACUUUGUAGUGCUGGCCUGGAACUCAUGUAAGACUAGGGUGGUCACAGAACUCUAUCUGCUUCUGCCUCCUGAGUGCUGGGGUUAAAGCAUGCUAUGAUGGCAUUUUACUAUGACAGAUGAAGAUAGUUAUGCCUGAUUUUAUUACUUAAAGCAUAAUCCUUUGGCUUUUCAACAAUGACCACCAUUAUUCUAUAACUGGCUGACUUCAGCUUUUUCUUUUCCUUGCAAAACCAUAACAUAUAUUUGUUAGUUAGAAAAACACUGAGUGACCGAGAGAGACUGCAUAAUUUAUUCAUAAUAUCAUUGGUCAGCUGCCUCAGUUACAGUCUGCUUUAAAAACAAAAAACAGAGGCAGGCGGAUUUCUGAGUUCUAGGCCAGCCUGGUCUACAAAGUGAGUGCCAGGACAGCCAGGGCUAUAACAGAGAAACCCUGUCUCGAAAAAACAAAAAACAAACAAAACAAAACAAACCAAAACCAACCAACAAACAAACAAACACCCCCCCCCCCUUUUUUUUAAAUUAUCUUGCGUGGGGCCUGGAGAGAUUACUCAUUAGUUACUCUUACAAGGGACUCAGAACCUGCAGAUGGCUUGCAAGUCUUGUAAUUCCAGUUCUAAGGGAUCUGAUGCCUUUUGCUGACCGUUACCAACAUCAGGCCCCUUCACACAUACACACAUAGGCAAACGUUUAUACACAUAAAACUAAACGAACACAUUUUAAAAUGAAGUUUAAUUUUGUGUGUAAGUGUGGGGAUAUGGGUGGCAUGUCCCAUGUAUGACGGUCAAAGAACAAGUCAUGAGAGCAGGUUGUCUUCAGUCAUUGGGCGGGCUUGGCAGCAAAUACCUGUACUGGUUGAGGCAUCUUUCUGCCACUACUGAGGUUUUAAAGUUAAUGAUCUGAGAUAAACAGGAUUUCCAGCUUUAAAGAAUAUGGAAAUUGACUAGGUGGUGGUGGCAGCUCAGGCCUUUAAUCCCAACAUUCCAGAGGCAGAGGCGGCAGGCGGAGUUUGAGGCCAGCCUGGUCUAUAGACUUAGUUCCAGGACAGCCAGGAUAACACAGAAAAACCUUGUGUCAAAAACCAAAAUAAUACCACACAAACAAGGUUAUAUCUUAUAGCUAUAUGAUACUUCAAUGUUCAAGACUUUACGGAAAUAUUCAGGAGUGAGUGAUGAGUGCUAAUUUACUACUAGGUCACAGGAACAGUUUCAUUUCCUUGAACUUGACUGGGAAAUUUUAAACCAGUCCCAAAUCCCAGUGGACUGAGGUACCGGAGUAGCUAUUCUGCUGGGCUCUGGAGCUCUUUCAUGUCCCCAUUAUAGAUACUGUAUAAAAGCAAGAAAGACAUUUACUUUAUCAUUGGCUACACAGUUACUCAGAGGAACAAGAAAACAAACGAAACGAAGCUUGUGGGUGUGGCUCAGUGACAGGGUGUUUGCCUAGCAGAACACGUGAGUGCAAUCAGAGUUGCUAUAGAGGCUGAGUUUCUUGAAAAGCUAAAGCGUGCAAACUCUAACUCAUAUCUGUUCUCGAAAGUCUUGUCCAGAACCACUGCAAGCAGCCUUCCCGCUUUGCCUUCCUCCACAUACCCUUUGUAGGGUUUCCUAGUCUCCAGUCUGGACCUCGGUUCCCGUACCUAAAGGCGGGCUUAGAGGGAGGAUAGGCUCAGGGGCGGAGACAGGAAAACAGAAAUAGCCAAUUCGUCCUUAAUUCGAGGCCCUCGCGGGCCUCACCCCUGUUGUGAGGGUUGAGAUUGGAAAGGAAGUGGGGAGGCUCCAACCAGUCCUUCACUCCCGCGCCCUCAUGCCCCCACCCUUCUCUGCUCGGAGCUUGGGUGCGCCGGGUCCCAGCUUCUCCUCCCGGGAGAGGAGCGGCCGGCACCAGCUGGCUGGAGGGGAAAGGCGAAGAUUUGCGGGCUGCUUGGGCCAGCCAGACACAUCCUCCGGGCCCUCUGACCGCGGCGAGCCACUCAGCCCCGAGCCAGGCCCCAGGGCAGCCCCGGAGACCCCGGUGGCCGGAUGCAGGGGUGCGUCACUUCCGGGCGGUGCAGCGGCGGCGGCUUGGAAGAUGGCUGCGCCCUGUGGCUCGGAGCUGCCCGCCAACUCGCCGCUCAAAAUUCCGAAGAUGGAGGUGCUUUCCCCGGCGUCUCCCGGCGACCUGAGCGACGGGAACCCAUCGCUGUCCGACCCUUCCACGCCUCGGGGAGCCUCCCCUCUCGGGCCCGGCAGCGCGGCGGGCUCGGGGGCCGCGGCGUCCGGGGGUCUCGGGCUGGGGCUGGGGGGCCGCGGCGCUGCCUCGUCCUCGGUCUCCUUCUCGCCCGGCGGCGGCAGUGGCGGGGCUGCGGCGGCCGCUGCCGCCGCCUGCCGGGGUAUGUCGUGGACGCCGGCAGAGACGAACGCGCUCAUCGCUGUAUGGGGCAACGAGCGGCUGGUGGAGGCGCGGUACCAGCAGCUGGAGGGAGCCGGCACGGUAUUCGGCAGCAAGGCCCCUGGGCCGGCCAUGUACGAGCGCGUGUCCCGGGCCCUGGCCGAGCUGGGCUACGAGCGGACCCCGUCCCAGUGCCGGGAGCGCAUCAAGGGGAUAUCUAGUUGGAAUGCUUCAUUGUCCAGUUAUGAGAAGGAAAUCUAAAGCAAAGAAAGGAGAUUGAGCCUCUGAAGAAUUUAGAGGAUCAGUUUACCUGUUUUCAGACAGAAUUAAGGACAAGUUCUAGUCUGGUCCCUCCACAAACCAGCAUUCAGUAGGCACUGAAUAAAUGCUUUGUUCAUCUGAGAAAGUAGAGAAAGAGUUUUGGAAGGUAUUUUUUUUUUUUUUUAACUUUUUGUUGCUGUGAUAAAACACUGACCAAAACCAGUGUAGAGGAAAGGGUUUGUUUGACUAACAGCUUAUAGCUUAGGGAAGCUAGGUAUUUUAGUUUACUAUUGCUUUGAAGAGAUACCAUGACCAAGGCAAUGUAUUAAAAGACAGCAUUUAAUUGCAGGCUUGUUUACAGUUUCAGAGGGUGAGUCUUGGUCCAGGAUCAUCAUGGUGGUCCAGGUCUGGCAGCAGGCAUGGCGCUGGAGCAGUAGCAAAGAGCUUACACUGAUUCUCAAGCAGGAUGCAGAGAGGAAGAGAUUGGCUUUCGAAAGCUCAGAGUUUACCCCUGGGGACAAAUCUCCUUCCUCAAGACCAUGCUUCCUAAUCCUUCCCCAAACAGUUCUACCAACUAAAGCCAAGCGUUUAAAUAUGUGAGUCUGUGGAGGCCAUGCUAAUUCAAACAGCCUCACCAGGGCCGGAGCUCAAGGAAGGAGUCUGUAGGACCUGAAGCAGAGACCACACAGGAGCACCACAUACUGGCUGGCUUCCUUGGCUUGCUCUUCUACCUUUCUUUCUUUCUUUCUUUUUUUUUUUUUUUUUUUGGUUUUUCGAGACAAGGUUUCACUGUAUAGCCCUGGCUGUCCUGGAAUUCACUCUGUAGACCAGGCUGGCCUCGAACUCAGAAAUCCGCCUAUCUCUGCCUCCCAAGUGCUGGGAUUAAAGGCGUGAGCCACCACGCCCGGCUCUCUACCUUUCUUUCAUAGUUCAGGUGUACCUUCCCAGGGAUAGCACCACCUACAGUAGGCUGGGCCCGCCUAUAUCAAUUAGCAAUUAAGAGACCGCCUUACAGACAUGGUUACAACUAGAGGCAUUUCCUCAACUGAGUUUCCCUCUUCUCAGGUGUAUCUAGGUUUGUGUCAAGUUGAUACAAACUGUGACUGAAUGUAUAAAAAUUUAUAUAAAUAAAUUAUAGUAGUGUUAUUGAAAAUUAAAAAUGUGGACUUUGGAACCCAAUUUAAAAAAUAUUGCAUUAAAGCUAAGCUUUAGAAGGCUGAGGAGUUAGCUCUGUGGUAGAGUGCUUGCCUAUUUUCUGUAAGGCCAUGGAGUCAAAUACAAAAAAACCUGGUAAUGAAAUGUCCCCUAGCUCUAUCCUUUUAGAAAACUGUGUGAAUGUGAUCUUUAGCACAGAAGCAAAGAGUCACUGAGAGCAGUCAUGAGCUAGCUAGCUGCCCAGGGAGUAAAGAUUGUAAUUAGGAGAAGUACAACGCUAAGUGUUUAGAACCUUUGACCCAAAAACAAAUCUCUAGGCCCCAGUUUUUAGAAGUGGAAGUUAGAACAGUAAUGUGGAAUUGCCAUCGUGUCCCUAUUGAUAGAAAUGCAAAAAGGAAAUGUGCAGGGGCUGGAGAGCCAGCCCAGAGAGAAGUUUACAGCCACCUGUAACUCCACCUCCAGGGAAUCUAAUGCCUUUUCUGAUCUCUAGGUACCCAUAGAGACACAGAAGGCUGACAUACACAAGUACACCGUAGGCAUGCACUCAUGCACGCAAAUGAAGCAAAUCUGAAAAAAAUCCAGUAAUGCCUUUGUCUUUAGUUGUGCAAAAUAAAUGAAGAUCAGAAAGUUGUUCUAUCUAUCUUGGGAGGGGGGGAUGGUUUUCGGAAGUGGGAACUUUUGAGAUAGGAUCUCUCUGUGUAGCUCUGGCUGUCCUGGAACUUGCUCUGUAGACCAGGCUAGCUUUGAACUCAGAGAUUUGCCUGCCUCUGUCUCCAGAAUACUGAGAUUAAAGGAUGGGCUUAGCAGGGCAGUGGUGGUGCACACCUUUAAUCUCAGCCCUUGGGAGGCAGGUGGAUUUCUGAGUUCGAGGCCAGCCUAGUCUUCAGAGUGAGUUCUAGGACAGCCAGGGCUGUACAGAGAAACCCUGCCUCAAAAAAAAAAAAAAAAAAAAAACCAGAAGAGAGAAAAAAAAAGGAUGGGAUUAAAGCUACCACUGCCUGGCUAUUUUGGCUGUUUCCUUCCUUCCAUCCAUCCAUCCAUCCAUCCAUCCAUCCAUCCAUGUAUAUGAGCGCGCUGUAGUGUCUUCAGACACUCCAGAAGGGGGUACCAGAUCCCAUUACAGAUGGUUGUGAGCCACCAUGUGGUUGCUGGGAAUUGUACUCAGAACCACUGGAAGAGCAGUCAGUGCUCUUAACCGCUGAGCCAUCUCCAGCCCGGGUUUAUUUUAGGUGUGUGAGUACACCAAGUGAGCGUCUGGUGCUUGCAGGGGUCAGAUGAAAGCAUUUGAUGCCCUGGACCUGGAGUUAUGGAUGAUUGUGAGCUAUCAAGUGGGUGGGUGCUGGGAACUGAUCCCUGGGUCCUCAGCAAGAGCAGCAAAUGUUUAUUACUAAGUCAUUUCUCCAGCCCCCAAACCAGGGAAUUCUUGUGUAGAGUAAUGAAGCUUAUUUAAAUGUACGCUCAGAGGUGGGAUGUCAGUGUUAGCAUGUGGUUAGUAUGUGGAAUUGCCCUGGGUUUAAUUUUCAGCAUUGCAGAGCAAACAAAACACCUUAACAGGAUGUAGGCAAUACUGUAUAUAUUGUCCAAUCCAUUGCUUCCUUGCAGUGUUCUCUAAACUAUUCUUACAAAAAGCAAUCAACAAAAGCCUUAAUAACAGAGGCUCACAGAGAGAAAGAAUACCACAUGAGUGACUUAUAUUUCUUCUGUAGUAUAUUUGAAAUUCCUAUAAGCAUUUAGUUAUGUAAAGCCAGUAAAAGGUAUGGACCGAUGGUUCAGGGGUUAAGAGCACUGUUCUUUCACAGGAUCUGGAUGUGGACAUUCUUUCACAGCAUCCACAUGUAGGCUCACAAACAUCUCCUUUCAGGGAAUCUGAUGGCCUCUUCUGGUUUCCAGGGGCACCAGCUACACAGUGAUGACACGGACAUAUAUACAUGCAGGGAAAAUACAUGUAUAUUUUAAACAGGGGGUGUAGGGUGUAGAUAGAGAUAAAUACCAGUAAACUUUUUCUUUUUUCGUUUUUUUUUGAGAUGUGGUUUCAUAUAAUGUAGGGUGGCUUUGAACUUGAUAUGUAGUUGAGGCUGGUCAUAAACUUGUGAUUCUCUUGCUUCUACCUUGUGAGUGCUGGCAUUAAUAGGAAGGUGCCACCAUGCCUAUAAAUAAUUUCAUGCUCUAAUAAAUAAUUUCAUCUUGAUUUGAAAAGAUGAGUAGUAAUCAGUUUUUACACUUAAUUUCUAACAUGGAGUCACUGGCCUUCCUCCUAAAAAGGCACUGGAAAGCUGACUCCUAUCCUAGCUCCUCACCCAACUACUUUCUUAGAGUACAUUACUUCUCUGGCUGUACUUGUUACUUACACAACAAAAAUAUUAAGAUUAUAAAUAUUAAUAAUGGGGCUGGUGAGAUGGCUCUGACUGUUCUUCCAAAGGUCCUGAGUUCAAAUCCCAGCAACCACAUGGUGGCUCACAACCAUCCAUAACAAGAUCUGACGCCCUCUUCUGGAAUGUCUGAAGACAGCUACAGUGUACUUUCAUAUAAUAAACAAACACAUCUUUAAAAAAUAUAUUAAUAAUGCUUGGCUUUUGUUACUGAAGUUCAACUUUUUAAUAUUGUUCGUAAUUAUAUUUCUGAGCUACAGUACUUUAAUUGAAAAUUUGUUUAGAGUUUCAUUUGAUAUCUGCCAUGAUGUUGGCAUUUGUUCUGGCUUUUGGAUAAAUAGAUGUGUUUAAAACUGCUUUACUACACAGAUUGUUUAUUCUGAAAUUUUCUUAUGUUUUUGUUUGCCAGAAGAAAAUGUGUUUGCUGACAAAUCCAGCCCAGUUUUGGAGUCAGAUAAACAAAGAUAGAGGUUUUUUUUCUUUUCUUUUUUUUCUUUUUCUGUUUUCUUUCUUUUUUGUGUGUCAUUUUGUGUAUAUUGUAUGAUUUUUUUUCUUAUAAAACUUUCCUUUAUAUGUUCACUCACCAAAUGAACCUUGAGUGCUUGUUAUUUGUGGGGCUGUCUACUAGACAGACGAUGAUAGACUACAAAACACCCUGUUAAAUACAGACGUCUCCUGUAAUCUGAGCACUUUUACUCCAGCUGCAGCUUGUAUACACACACUGAAGAGUUGAGAAUGUAUGAAACAACUCAAGUGAUGGUUGAUUAAGUGGCACCGGACUAAAGCAGAUUGUAAGUGUAAUAGCUUCAAAGGGGAGCCAUCUUCCCUCAGUAGCUCAGUCAUCCUCAGUAGCUGAAAGAUCUGUCUUGACUUAGGAUCCAUGAAAGCCUUCACUUCUGAGCCAGAUGCCACAUUCACACUUCAGUCAGUUAAUCUGAUACACUGCAAACCUCAUUCUCAAGGCCUAUAUUUUUGGGUGUUUUCCAAAAAUUUGCCUCUAAAGAGUUGGCUUUAUGUCUCUGAACAGAUGUAUAUGUCUAGCUUUGCCUGAAGUUGAAAGGCAAGGUAUUGUGUGUGACCUAACAGUCUUGCCUUUGCUGUGUCUGUUCCAUGCUGAUUAACCAUCAAACUCUUCUGGCUAGCAUACAAAACAAUUUUUGGGAUGUUGCUUGCAUUUGUCCAUCAGUUGUCAUUACAUUGGAAUACAUUUUGCAUUUAGCACCCAAAUUACAGUAAAGCAUAUUUGGCCUUUUAUUUCAGCUAUGCUUUGUUUGUGAGAACCAAUAGGUCUGAGAUAACUUGGAGCCAAAAGAUGCUUAGUUCCUUGUAAAAGCCUUUUAGUGGACUGCCCACCCCAAGGACUUUGCUUUGGUGUUUGUAGACAAGACUUUUCUUCUUUGUGUUGAAAGAUUUCCAAGAAAUGUUGUAAGCCACAUAAGUAGAUCCAGUGAGACAGUUCUCUUAUUGUUUGUUACAUGUUCUGAUUCUGUUGUCUCCAUCUUACUAUCACUUGAAAGUUUGGGUGUUUGGGACUGGGAAUGUGGCUCAGUGGUGAAACAUUUAUUUGCCUAGCAUUGUAAGGCCUUGGGUUCUAGUCACAGUACUGUUAGAAACAAAAACAACCAGUAAAAUCUGUUCCUAUGUGUAGAGUAUGGUGGCAAAAGCUUAUAAUCCCAACAUUAGGGAGAUUGAGCAAAAGGUUAAGGCCAGCCUGGCUCUAUAGAGAGGUCAAGGUUAUCCUCGUUAUCAUUGCUCUGUCUCAUGGAUCUUAAGCUUGGACUUUGAGCUUUAAAGAUACAACAAGCUCCCACUAGAACUGUGAAUGAAUGGGAUUCUCAAUUAUUUAUUGGCCUUUUUAAAAUUAUUAUUUUAAUGAAGAAAGUAUCUGGGAUUGGUGUCUUACAUUUGUAAUUCCAGCACUUAGGAAGCAGAGGCAGGAGGAUUGCAAAUUCAAGGCUGGCAUGUGCUGCAUGAAAAGUGCCAAGCAAAUCUGGGAUACAUAGAGAGACUCUAUAUUACUGUUUUUCAUUGUUGUAACAAAAUGUUCUACAAAAGCAACUUGUGGUUGGAAGGGUGCACAUUGGUCACAGUUUGCAGAUGUAGUGUGUUGUGUCAGGGAAGUCAUGGCAGCAGGAGUUUCAGGCAGCUGUGAAUGUGCUGUCUUCACAGUAAGGAAGCAGAUGAGUGCUGCCAGUCAGCUUGUUGUCGGGCUUUUUCUCAUCCUGAGACCUCAUCCCAUUGGAGAACGGCAUUCAGUUGGUUUCCUUCCUCAGACCUUUUUUGGAAACACUUUUGCAGAUACAUCUAUAGUUGUGUUUCUAUAAGUAAGUCUAAAUUUGGUUUUAAACAUCACAAAAUACAAACAAGAAAAGUAAAAGAAAAACAUUUAUUAGUGUAAAGAUAUAGCUGGUCAUAUAGCUGUGGUAGAAAUACUUGCCCAUCACAAAUAAGCAUUGGGUUCCUUCCCCAGGACAGUGAAAGGGUAUGGCAGAACAGUAGAAUCUUAACAAUUGGGAGUUGGGGGCAGGAAGUUCAGGCGCUCAAGGUCGUUCAUUCUUGGCCAUAUAGAGAAGUCGGUUUGGGUUACAUCAGCGCCUGUCUGAAAACCAAAAAAGGAAAAAUACGAAAUAAGCUAUGUAGUAUAAACAUUUCUAUCCAGUAAAAUUUUCUGUGAUGAUGGGAAUGUUUGUAACUGUUAGUUCAGUGUGAUUGAUAUCAGGUACAUGUGACUACUGGCCCCUCAGAAUGUGACUAGUGUGUCCAAGUAACUGGGUUUUAAAUUAUGUUUAGUUUCAAUUAAGUUCAAACUUUUAAAUAGCCUCUUUAAACUAAUGGCUACUGUGUUGAAUGUUGUCGGAGUAUUAAAACACUCUAAAAGGAUUCUUUUGGACACAUACUCAAGACCUCUAAGGGGAGGUCAGAAUUCUUUUCAUUUGUCAUAUCAUUCUAUUUCUCUACAGGGACAACUUUGAAGUGGUUCCCUGUUCGAAGUGGUGGGGAUUUUAGGCCAAGAACUAAAAGUAUUCUAAACUUAAGUUGACUGGGGCAAGUAUUAAGUUUUUGGUUUUGGCACACAAAGUCCAGGAGGCCUUUCUGUGAUAUAAUAGAAAGGCUUUACAUCUGUAUAACUACAGGUGCUGUGAAUAAUUAAAAAGGUACCAGAGAGACUACAGCAAAAAUUUUGUUUAAUUUAACUUAAAUGUGAAUAGCUGCAUGUUUCAGUGCUGGUAUAUUGAUUGGCCAGGGCAACUCUGGAACUAAUGAUAUCAAGCUUUUCUGCUACAGAGUCUGCAAAGACUUCGAAAUUCAUGCACUCUCUAAAACAUUUGUAGGUAAAUAGUAAACAUGUAGAUUAGGGGCUGGAGAAAUGGCUCAGCAGUUAGGAGCAUUUGUUGUGUUUACAAAGGACCUUGGUUUAGUUUCCAGCAACCAACCGCAUAGUAGUUCACAGCUAUUCCGUAGCUCCAGUUCCAGAGGGAUUUGAUGUCCUCUCUGACCUCCAUGGGCACUGGGUAGGUGGUGCACAUACAUGCAGGCAACACUCAUAUACGGAAAAAGAUAAAAUCUAAAAACAUUUAAAAUUUUAUAGGAAUUACUAGGAUAUAUAAAAUACCCUUGUUUGGGAUGCAUAAGACAAAAAUGGGUGUAAAAUUUAUGAAUAAUGUACUCUGAAUCUGAGAACUCCUUAUAAUAUCCUUGUUGGUAAGUGUUAGCAAAUUUAUGGAGUAGGAGAUGAUUCUCAUUAUGUUUGAAGGAAGCAAAGUCUCAGACCCACUGUUCCUUUGGUCAUUCUAAAUUUAGAGGUCAGACCUUUAUUCCUAAAAAAUAUGGUGGGAUGAUCCCAGUCUUCAAGGUUUUUAGGUCCCGAUCAGUCAGCAGAGGAACUACGUAGUCCUGGGUAUCUUUUGAAUAUCUUUCUUACCUAAUACAGUGGAACUCAAUCCUUGAGAUCCAGGCUUUAAGUAAUGAGAUCUGAAAUAGAGACCUUAAAGUUUGAUUCCUUACAGUACAGUGUGAGCCUUUACCCACAGGACAGGAGUUAGACGCCGAGGAACUGGUUGCUGUGCAGUGAAGUGUGUGUGCUGCUGUUGGUAUUGAUACAUCGCUCACUGGGCUCUAUGGUUGAGCUUCAGCAGCAGUUACCCGAGGCUCCAGACUUUACCUGAGGUAACAAGAUGCUUAGUUAGGCACAAGGCAGCAGAGUACAUGAGUUGUUGGUGUGGAGCUCAGGAGCAAUGUAACCUGGAUUCUUCUAAAUAGUGAAAGUGUUCCAAAAUUUUUAAGUGAUUUUAAAAGAGUGCCUUUUAGUUGAGGAACAACUUGCUGUGUAGUAUAUGGUGAAGAUGUGGCUUAGAAUCAGGGAAUGAUUGCCUGGUAGUGUUAUAAAGAACCAUCUGAGAGUAAGCUGGUAAUUUCAGGAUGGCAUUUGAAUGAAUGUGUCAGUUCUAGGUUAUAUUUUUUAUUAUUAGCAUAUUUUUUUGAACUGUAGUUGUGUAAAUAUAAUGCAUUGCAUUCCUUAAUUUUAAUUUUAAGAAAACCUAAAGUUGUACAUCUGUAUUUGACUAUUACACACAAGAAGAAUAUAUUUUACUUUGGGAACUAGUUUAUUACCAUAACAUGUACAUAUAAUAGAAAUAAAUUUUACCAAGUAAUAAUGAUAGCUUACACUGUAUAGUGCUACAGUAAUGUAGCAUUGAGCACAUCCCACAGACUGUUCUAUGUGCUGACACCCUGCACUUUACUCCAGUAGGUGCUGCCCUGUUUGAACAUGGGCAGGCCAUCUUUGGAGCCUCUUUAAAGCUCUGGAUGUGGAAACACCUAACUAGACUGUGCUAUAUUCUCUUUGUUGCCCAUGCAUCACACUCAUUUUCCUUCUUCCCAGUCUUUGCCAGUGUUGCUUCCCCCGUAACUCCACCCGAGGCACCCCUCAUGCUUCCUACCUGAAGCAGAGUCUCAGUGGUCUCCAGACAUUUUGCACCUAAAACUGGUAAGAGGAAAAAUGAGAGGAAGGAGGACACUUACAGGGUCACAUUGUCCCCACAUACUUGGGACAUGGCAGAAGAGAAGAGCUGGAAGGACAGGGGAAGGGAAGACAGCUAACAGCUCAACAGAAGCACCUUCCUCCAUGUUCCACUCCCCAGGCUUUACAUUUGCACGAGAUGUUGCCCGACUUCCCUGUCUGUGUGAGUACUUCACACUGAGAGUUUUGUGGCUGUGGUUCUUUGCUCUUUUGCGCUUUGAUAGAGCACAGUAGGUGGUAGUCUUUGCCUUGGAGAGUCUGCAGUAGCAGGGAGCCAUUCCCAGGGUCAUGAAGUAGCCCAGAGAUACUUGAGGCCUCCUUGAUAAGGUUUGCUAUAGGAUAAACUGUACUGGCCAGGAAACCACCUGUUACUCAGUGCCCAUAGGCUCAGCCCAUCCCUUCUUCUCAGACUUGGCCAUCUUCAUAUGUCCCUUACUUGGCAUCCAUCCUUCUGACCUAAGCUAGCUUCUGUUCACCCAUCUUAUUAGGCACCCUCUUGCAGCACUAGGAUCCUCCCUCCCCCACGUUUCUCUUCUACCCCCUCUCCUUGUUGCUCCUGUCUCAGGCAGGGAAGCAAGAUUUUGCUUUGUAGCUUAGACUGGCCUAGAACUAACUGUGUGGCUCAGGUUGGUCCUGAACUCCUGAUCCUUCUGUCUCAGCUUCCUGUAAUGCUGAGACUACAGCCUGGUACCAGUACUGUCUUUACUAGAGUAGUUUUUGUUUUCCAGUGUUCAUUGUCUCUUGGUUCCUAUGUGAGCAGUUUUUCAUUAGCACUAAAAUUAACUUCUGGGGCUGGAGAGAUGGCUCAGCGGUUAAGAGCACCAACUGCUCUUCCAAAGGUCCUGAGUUCAAAUCCCAGCAACCACAUGGUGGCUCACAACCAUCCAUAAUGAGAUCUGAUGCCCUCUUCUGGUGUGUCUGAAGACAGCUAUAGUGUACUUACAUAUAACAAUAAAUAAAUCUUUAAAAAAAUAAUUAACUCCUGAACCCAUCCUUAGUUACAUACAAGAUGACUCAUCUGAGCUAUAAUCCCAGUACUUGGGAAUAGAGGAAGGGAGAGAUCACCCUUGGCUAUAUGACAUGAGACCCCCAUCUCAACCCCAUCUCCUCUCCCCUAAAGAAAAAGAAGACCUGAAAGAUAUAGAGCUGAGAUCAGCAUUUUUUCAUUAUACUCUUUGUGAAAAUUUUAUUAAUUUAUUAGAGUGUGUAUAUGUAUGUUUUGUUGAACAUUCAAGUGCAAGUCAGCAUGACAGCUUUCGGGAGCUGGGUUUUUUUCCUUUUACCAAUGUGGAUCUCAGAGAUUGAACUCAGCUCUGUCAGGCUUGGUGGCAAAUGCCCUUGUACUCUGAGCCAUUUAGACAGCAUUGUGCUCUUACUUUUUUUUUUUUUUUAAAUGUAAAUCUUUUUUUUUUUUUAUUAACCAUGUAGUUGCUGGGAAUUGAACUCAGGACCUCUGGAAGAGCAGUCAGUGCUCUUAACUGUUGAGCCAUCUCUCCAGCCCAGAGUUUUUAUUUUAUACUUAACAUUGUUUAUUUUCUAUGUAUGGACAUCUUGCCUGCUUCUAUGUUUGUGCAUCACAUGUGUGCCUGGUGGCUCUAGAGGUCAGAAGAUGGUGUGUUUCAAGGAUCAGACUUAGGUCAGCUGACCCGUGAAACAGGAGCCAUCGCCUGCCCACUCUAUGCUCUUGUAGAGUUUGGCCUGAAGUCCCAGAUUCUCCAGUGGAACACUUGGUUUAGUGAAGGGUCAAGGGAAGUAGAUAGUAAGAAGAAAGGAGAGUAGUGACGAUCUGGAGGUCACGUGAUGUGUCAGGGGAGUGGGGCUUUAUCCUUACCUAGCAAAGCAUUUUAAGCCACCUAGUGGCAUGGUUACUCUUCAUUUUAUACCAGUCACUGGCAGUAAUGUGAAUGAAUAGAAAGGGUAAGAGUGGAGGUACGAAGUCAUUUUGAAAUUCUUGCAGUGAGUUAGGCAGACAGAGAGCAGCAGUAAUGGAAGCUCGGGAGAGGAAGAGUUCCUACGUAUCUGGCACAGUUCUUAAUGUGUUGGAUCUUAACUUGUUCUGGAACUGCCUGUCUACUUUGCCAGUUCUUAGCUGGGGGACAGAUGACCUCAUGGCUAAGUGUUAGGCUUCAUUAUUCACAACCCAGUGAGACAGAAAUAAGAGCACCAUGUUAGGACAGCCCUGCCCUAUGGCCUGGAAGAUACAUUCUCUUAGCCUCUAGUAUGUCCAGUUUGGACAGAUGUGGACAGAAGUGAUUAUCCUGUCUUCUUUUCUAGCUCUUUUUCUUUGCCAGAGGAUAAGAACUAAAAUGCAGAUCUAAGUUUUCAGUUUUAAAAAAUUUAAAGUAUUUUGAGACAAGAUAGUCCUAGCAGGCCUAGCCCUCACUAGGAAGAUUAGUUUAGCUGUGAAGUUAGAGCAAUCCUCCUGUCUCUACCUAUGGAAUGCUCAGAUUAUAAGAGUAUGCUGCCAUGUUGGCCAGAUUUCAUAUAUUGUCAUACAAAUAUGCUUCUAUUACUAGGCUAAGACACAUUAGCACAGUGGUUCUCAACCCACGGAGAAAUGGCCAUUUCUCAGGGAUCACAUGUCAGAUAUUUACAUCACAAUUCAUAACAUUUUCAAAAUUAGUUAUGAAGUUGCAACAGAAUUUCGUGGUCGGGCAUCACCCCAGCCUGAUGUAUAUUAAAGGGUCACAGCAUUAGGAAGGUUGGGAACCACUGCAUUAGCAGUGUUUUCCCUUUGUCGGAAAGAACAACCCCACCUCCACCACUAUGGAAAAUGUCUAGAAAAUGAAAUAAAAUGGGAAAGAGUUCAGUGUUCAAAAACAACUAACAAGUACUAUUAAUGCCAUCCAUCCAUCCAUCCAUCCAUCCAUCCAUCCAUCCAUCCAUGCAUGAAUGAUUCUGAGGCAGUGGCUCACUGUGUAGCCCUGGCUAUCCUGGAGCUCACUGUAGACCAGAUUGGCCUCAAACUCACAGAGAUCCACCUGGCUCUGCUUCCCAAGAGCUGAGAUUAAAGACAUGUACCAACAAGCCUGGCAGUGCUUUAGAUUUUAAGCAGUUUUCAUGGUCAUAGGGAUAAGAACAUACUUAAUUUUCUCAUUGUAAGGGGCUUUACGUACCAUACUCUUAUUCUGCCUACUUUUGGCAUUGCAGAAACUUCUGUGUGUAUUUAAAAUGGAUGCUUAAUGAACCAGUACCUCUUAUGUGUGUGCCACAGUUAUCUGGAGUUUGUGAUCUGUGCUGAGCCCCUCCACUGUUGAGUAUUAGAUGAACAAUGUUUGCACUUGGAAAAAGACAUAUAUUUAAAUCUUUGUAAUUAUCAUGUACUUGUAGUUUAGAGUCCUUGAGAGCCUGUGGAAAUACUUUUUGUUUUCUUGGCACUAAUCAAGUGUUACACUUUCACUUAGGAUGUGCUGUUAAACCUGUGUGAAAUAAUAACCUGUGUCUGUUCUCGGGUAUUCGAGGAAUAACAGUCAUCACUUUGGUUUUCUGUGUGUGUUUUCAGCGGUGUUAAUGAAAAUGUAUUUUGAGUUAGCAAAUAUCAUUGAUUCAGUGUAAUUGAUAGAGUAGAUAGGAAGUUGUUUACUUCUGUGUUUGCUAGUUGCCAUUCCUCUGUGAGACUGCUUCAUUGUGAUAGCUCAAACUCUUGAAACUUACAGUACUUUUUCUCUUUAGAUUACUUCAUUUAUUUGAAUAAGCCAAAUAUGUUUGUAAGUGAUACUAAUUAAAAAUAAAAGUUCAUAUCAAUCAAAAACUGCUUUUAUUAUUUAUUUAACUUAUAAAUAUUUUUCUCUACAAGGAAAGAUGGGUUGUAAUUUAUAAAGAAGACUGUGUUAGGAGAGCAAGUCAACCUUCUGUGUGUUAUCUGAACUGCCUAGACAUAAUCUUAAGGGAUUUUUAUUCACUCACCCAUCAAAAAUUUGUGGAGCCAUUUUCAUAUGCCAGGUAUUGAGGGCACUGGGGGAAUAUAUCGAUGAAAAGAAACUUUUUUAAGACCGCAUCUCAGCUCAGGCUGACCUCAUUGUGUAACUCACUAUGUAACUGAUGGCUAUGAGCUUCUAAUCUGCCUACCUUUGUUUCUCAAAUUCUAGGAUUACAGGUCUGUAUCACGGUGACACCUGCUUACAAAACAAAACAAAACUGUAGAUCCCACAUUCUAAUAGAAAAUGAUAAUUAUGUUCUUACAAUGCUGGGGAUUGAGCCUAGAGGCUUGCAUAUGCUAGGUAGGCACCCACCCUGUCAUGUUCCCACAUAUCCUAGUCCUGAGAAAAUAGGUAUAUUAAAUAGCUAAUUCAAACCAAGUGUUUUACUCUUGUAAUUCCAGCAUCUGACAGUAGGAGGCAGAAGAGUUUGAGCCCAGCUUGGUUUCAUAGUGGGAUCUUGCUUCAAAAUAAGUAAGAACACUUAGCUCAGGACAAAAGCACCUCAGAUGGAUAUCUCUGAUAGAGCCUUAUUGGCCUCAGUUUGAAAACCAUACUCUGCACUUUUGCAUAAGGAGUGGGGUGCUUGGCUUUUGGUUUUGUUGAGAAGGUUUUUCAUGCUUUCUAAAACUUCUUUUGCACAUCGUGCACAUCCAGGUGAUGCUGCGAUUUCCCUGCCUGAGCAGCAGAGUGCUAUUGUCCUGUCAGUGCUUAGCUCAGAGAACCCCUCCUCUUAAUGCAGGGUGUGCAGUGUCCAGUCGUGAGCCAAAACCCUUCAUUUCUUCUCUUGCUGAAAUUAGGAAACAGCACUUGGGCUCACUGAGGUCAGUAGUGUUGUGCCCGUCUCAUUUUCCCUUCAUUUAAGUAAUGCAUCCGUACCACUACACUCAGAAAAUAGAGAGCGUUUUACGUUCUUUACUCUAGCAUGACCACACAUCCCCAAAACGUUUAUAUUUCAACAAGACAAGUAAACCUGCUGGUAAUUUCAGUAUAUUUCCAUGUGGCAAAACCAGGAAAGAGAUGAUUUUAUUUUAUCAAACUCCAAGAAAAUAUAUGGGUCAUUCAUGCACCUUAUUUCACUAUUCAUGUUGAGUUCCCUUGCGCUUGCUUCUUGGGAAUAUGUUGCCAGUGAGCAAGGCUUAAUUCUCUGGGUAGGAAGUGAGGUGGCUUUUCCUCCUUUGUUUAUAUGUCAGUAUGUUAAUUACAUGUUACAGUCAUGCUAAGCCUACAAACAGUUGGAAUGGAUUGGUUGGCAGAGCUGGAUGUUUCUGAAACUUGAUUCUGGGUAAAAGAUAAUAACAACAUCACACGCCUUCAUCUAGGUAUGAAGUCCUAUUGUAUGUUGAGCUUAUGUUACCAAACAAAAUUAUGUUAAAAUCUUAAAUACUGAAAUGGGAGAAAGUCAAGGUAGCAUUUCUGUAACAUGAUUGGUGUGGAUUAGUUAAAACUCUUGAUUGCUUUUUCCCUAUAUAACCCCUUUGGCUUUUGUUUUUUGAGGGGGGAGAUUGUUUUGUUUGUUGUUGUUAGGGUUUUGUUGUUGUUUCUUGAGGCGGGAUUUCUCUAUGUAGUCCUGGAUGUCCUGGAAUCCAUUCUGUACACCAGACUAGUCUCAAACUCAGAGAUCUGCCUGCCUCUGGCUCCUGGCCUCCUAGUGCUAGAGUUAAAGGCAUGCACUACCAGUGCCCAGUGACUCUUAAUGUUGAUUGCUGCAGUAAGGUUCUUUUUAUAGAGAUGAAGGUGUGUUGAAAUUGAGUCUUUUUAUGUAGUCCUGACAGAGAGGUUCAUUUGAAGGUGUCAUUCUCACUUUAUGCUUAGCUGUGUGCUUUUGAUAUAACACUUUAAUUUCCUGCUUUGCUCUACUUGACUUUACCUUUAUUCAUAAGCCUUUCUGUAUACACAAACUGUGGUUGCAUCAUUUUGUAAUAAUUGUAAUAGCUAACAUUUACUGAAUGAAAGCAAUUAGUUAUAUCACUUUAAAUGCUCUACUUCUCAUUUAAUGCUCACAACAAAUCUGGGAUGGGAGCACUGUCCUUAACUCUGCUUACAGAUGGAAAAAUUAAGGCACAGAGAUUAAUUUGGAUAAUGUCACAAAGCUAGCAGCUGGUGACAAUAGAAAAGCAUUCUAGUUCCAGAUCCUGUGUUUAUAACAACUUGGUUUAUUUCCUCCUACAGAUCACCGGCCCACUUUCUUUAAAUUUUGACAACUGCAAUAAUGUUUUUGGAUCAUAAAGCAUAAAUGUAAUACCAAAACCAUAUAGUAGGAUCCAGAUGGACCCACCAGUAUACUUACAUAUUUUAUUCUUCUCUCUUCUCAUUUCUGUCCGUCCCCUCACCCCCCUACAUAGGGUCUCCUAUAGCCCAGGCUGGCUUCACACUCACUAUGUGGCUGAGGAGGGUGACUUCAACUUCUGUCUCUUUAGUGUUGGGAUUAUAGGCAUUUGAUACCACAGCUCACUUAAGAAGUGCUGGGAAGCAAACCCAGGACAACAUGCAUGCUAGGCAAGCAUUCUACCAACUGAGCUAUAUGCUCAGCCCUUGGUAUUCCUAUUCUCUCUCUCUCUCUCUCUCUCUCUCUCUCUGUGUGUGUGUGUGUGUGUGUGUGUUUGUUUGGGAUUAAGCUCCGAUCCUUUUAAAUACUGGACAAAUGUCUAUUUUUCUCAGAGCUAAUUUUCAUCAUUCAGAUUUUUGGGAAUAAAUUUAACAGAUUUAAUUGAUUUAACAGCCUGCUGUAUUCUUAUAUUAUGAUGCUAAAUCGUCUCUCAGUUGAGAUUAUCUGUUGAUUGCAAAUGUUGUGUGCUUGAACAGAGAAAUACAGUUAUGGUUACUGCUCUAGACUCAUUUGGUUUUGAGCCCUUAAAAAACUCUUGUAAAAUGAAAACUGGCACCACAUCGCUAGAGAUUGUUUGAAUUUAAGACGGCUUUUUGGAAAGCUGUCAUAGUUGGACAUUAAAGUCACAAAACUUUUACAAUGAAACUAUAAAGAUGGCGGCUGGAGAGAUGGCUCAGCACUUAAGAGCACUCACUGCUCUUCCAGAGGUCCUGAGUUCAAAUCCCAGCAACCACAUGGUGGCUCACAACCAUCUAUGAGAAAUGGUGCCUUCUUCCGGUGUGUCUGAAGACAGCUACAGUGUACUCAUAUACAUAAAAUAAAUAAGUAAAUCUUAACCAAAAAAAAAAAAAAACCAAAAAACUAAAGAUUUAAUGUGACAAUACACUGCCUGCUGUAUUGAGCAUCCAUUUAUAGAGAGACAUAUCAACUGCAGAUGUGUCAAGACAGAUGUGUCUGAGCUUAACAAAAGGGCACAUUUCAUCUAUCACAUGAAAAGUGAAAUGCCCAACCAUUAAUUACAUCUGAGUUCCUCAGCACCCUUGCUUUAAAAUCAUCAACUUAAAAACAUUUUAUUUUAUGUUGAUGUGCCUCAUAUGUAUGCAGUGUGAGAGGAGACCAGAAGGUGGCAUCAGGUCUCCUGGAGAUUAAGGGCUGUUGUGAGUUGCCAUGUGGAUGCUGGGAAUUGAACCUGGAUCCUCUGGAAGAGGAGCCGGUGCUCUUAACUGCUAAGCCAUCUUCCCAGGACUCCAUAAACUUUUUAUUUUUAGAUCCAUCUUUAUUAUCAAUAUCACAUUUCUUUUCUUGAUAUGUAUCAAAACUUAUGGUGAACAUUGAGUUUUGGGUUAUAAAAGAGGACUUAACAAAAAACACCAGUUCUGCUUUGGAAAGUUUUAAGGAAGCAUUUAAAACACGUGUGAACAUAAGAUCAAAGUCUUUAUUGUAGAAGAUGCGUUGCCAUGUGCUCACGUCUUCAGUGGAUGGUGGUGGCUCUUAGGCUGUCAGCUCCUUAAAGAGGGUGAGCUUGAAUUAAAGCAGAAGAAACAUCUGCAAGGUACAAUUACUUUUGACAGUAAAACCAGGUAAGUAUGGGGCUUCCUUGCCAAAAGAUGCUAUAGAUUAUGGCCAUUGCCUCAUGCUUUCUAUCAUUUACUGCAUGAGUAAAUGGUUGGGGGCUUGACCCCUUAGAGAUAAUAACAGAGAUGAGCUGAGCUGUAAUGAAUACAAGUUGUGUUACACACAACGGAGUUUUUGUGAAUGAUAGACGUGUACAAAGGCAGUCCUAUAAUCCCCAUUAUAAUAGAGCCAAAAGUUUCUUGUCAUCUAAUUAAGUUAUUGUAGCUGUCCCUAUGUCCUAUGGCAAUGCAUUCAUUAUGCAACAUGUUGUGAUGCUGGUAGACAAACCAUUCAGUUGCCAAUCAGUAAAAGUAUAGUGCAGCCAAGCGUGAAGGCUACGUGUGUAAUCUGAGCACUUGGGAGGCUACCCUAGUUUGCUUGCUCCCAAAAGCAGUUUGAGGAGGAAAGGGUUUACUUCAUUUUUACAUCUUACAGUCCACCAUGAAGAGAAGUCUUAGGAACCUGAAGGCAGGCAAGGCCUGGACAAGAGAGCAUGGAGGAGGAACACUGCGUAUUGGCUUGCUCCCCCUGGCUUGUUCAGCUUGCUUUAUUAUACCACCCAGGACCACCUGUCCAGUUGUGCUGACCAGAGUGGGCUGGGCCCCCACAUCAGUCAUUAAUCAAGAAAAUGCCCCAUAGACAUGCCCACAGACCAUUUGAUACAGACACCCCACCCCCAUCCCCCAGUUUAGGUUCCCUCUUGUCAAAUGACUCUAGCUUGUAGCAAGCUGACAAAAAGUAACAAAUAGGGGAAGGCUGGCUGAUACAGGAGGUUUUCCAUGAGUUACAGGUAGCCUGAGUUACAGAGUGUCUUAGAAAACAUAAAGCAAUAAUAAAGAAAAAGUCACACGGUGGCCCAUGUAAGUGUGGACAGUGCCUACAUAACCCUUGCCGGUGACAGGGAGCUGCUGGUGGUGGUGUAGGUGCUUACCUGACUGUCAUUGGUGCAUAGAGUAUUAAAAGUCAUCCCUGGUAGCGGAAUGCCUUGCUACACUGCCUGCCCCUCCCUCGUACACUGGUUAAGAGCAGUGAUAUGCUCAUGCCCAUUAGGUUUGAGUAUAAUUUCUGCUAAUGACAGAACUCUUAGGAACACCUUUAUUUUUCCUAAGAUGGGAUCUCAUGUACCUCAGGCUGCCUUGAAACUGACUGUGUGACUGCGGGUGACGGUGGAUGGGUGAUGCUCCUGCCUCUGCCUUCCAGCGCUAGGAUCACAGGGUGUACCCACUAUAUCCUAUCCUGACCUACAUUUUCUUCCAGCGUCCUAAACAACUCUAGGUUUCUUUAAGGCAGAAACUUAGAGUAAACUUAAAUUUGCUUAUUACUUAAUUUUUCAUAAAAAUGGUAAGAGAUCUAAUGCAGUUGUGGCUUAUACUUUAUAGCUUUACAUCUUUAGAAGUGGCUACAUCUUGAGUUAAUGUUUGGACCUAGAAAUCUUUUUUUUUUCUUUUAAUUGUGUGUGAAUGUUUUGCCGGCAUGCAUGUCUGCACUGUGUAUGCGCUGGUUGCCUUCAGAGGUCAGAAGAAGGCAUCAGAUAUGGGAUUAGAAUUACAGACAGUGGUAAACUGCCAUGUGGGUGCUGGGAAUUGAACUAAGGUCCUCUACAAGAUCAUCCAGUGCCCUUUGCUGCUGAGUCAUCUCUCCAGCCAGAGGCCAGAUGUCUUGAUGGAGGAUUUCUAAUAGCUUUAGUUUUUUAGAUGAGCUAUUAUGGAUGUCAGGAUUGAUUUCAUAAAUGCAUAAACUUAUUAAUGGAAACACUAAGUGUGCUAGAUGGUAGUUUACAGUAAGAAAGCUAGUACAAACUAAGAUAAUCACAUGGCCAGCAUAUGAAAGGGAUAACGUGGUCUGCUAUUUAGGUUCUUUUUUUUUUUUUUUUUUUUUUUAGGUAUUUUCCUCGUUUACAUUUUCAAUGCUAUCCCAAAAGUCACCCAUACCCACCCCCCCAAUCUCCUACCCACCCACUCCCCCUUUUUGGCCCUGUCGUUCCCCUGUACUGAGGCAUGUAAAGUUUGCAAGUCCAAUGGGCCUCUCUUUCCAGUGAUGGCUGACUAGGCCAUCUUUUGAUACAUAUGCAGCUAGAGUCAAGAGCUCCGGGGUACUGGUUAGUUCAUAUUGCAGUUCCCUUUAGCUCCUUGGGUACUUUCUCUAGCUCCUCCAUUGGGGGCCGUGUGACCCAUCCAAUAGCUGACUGUGAGCAUCCACUUCUGUGUUUGCUAGGCCCCUAGGUUCAUUUUUGCUUUUUGUUUUGUUUUGUUUUGUUUUUUCGAGACAGGGUUUCUCUGUAUAGCCCUGGCUGUCCUGGAGCUCACUUUGUAGACCAGGCUGGCCUCGAACCCAGAAAUCCACCUAGGUUCAUUUUUUAAGAUUAUUCUUGGAGCUGUGCCCCACAGUGUGCAUGUGGAUGCCAGAGGACAACUUUGUACAGUUGGUUCUCUCUUUCUACCUUUGUCAAAGUUCUGGGAUUGAACUCAGGAAGUCAGGCCAAUUCAGCAAGCCUUUUUACAUGCUGAGCCUUCUCUUUGACCCACUUGUUUCACUUUUAAACUUUGAAUGAGUGGAAGCCUGUAUUUCAGCAGCAGGGUAACGUUAUUACUAUAAAAGCCUGUCAGGAUUUUUGUUGUUACUUGGGUUUUAUUGUUAGGGGAGUGGUCUUAAUUUGGGGGCAUGAUUGUUUGUGGAAUAAUUAGUUCAUAGUUUGUUUGUUUUUACUCUUCUCUAAAAGACGUUUAAAAGGGGAGGAAUGGCUCCCUCUGCCAUGCCAGAAGUAUAUUUGUGAUUGUGCUUCUCCCCUCAUUAUCACCUAUUAAUAAAUUAAUGACAAUGCUAAUGUUAUCUGAAUAACACUUGGAGUCAGAGUCUGGAAGAGUGAAAUACUGAGAAAACAAAAACAAAUAACCCUGUAAAAAGAUGCCAACAUAGCAACUUUAAAGGAGUGCUUUUCUGCGGUACUAUCCUCUAUGUGCAGCACGCCCUGUUUAACAUUCCCAUUUGUUAAGUACGUCCUCGGCUUGCCUAGGGUCUAUUCAAAAUCUAGCAUAUGUGUCACUUGCCAAAGAUUUCCAUGGUACCUGCCACUUUCGUUGGAGUUUUUCUGUUUUGUUUUGAGAUGGGGGUCUCAGGUAGCCCAGAAUGAAUUUUUUAACAUUGCUAUUGUCACUUCAGAAAAAACAAUUGUUGUUUAUCACAUAGAAAAAAGUGCUUUAAGUGUGGUCAUGCACACCUUUACUCCCAGCACUGAGGAGACAGAGGCAGGCAGACCUCUUGAGUUUGAGGCCAGCCUGGUCUACAAGAUGAGUUCUGGGACAGCCAGGGCUACACAUAGAAACCCUGUCCAAAACAGAAUAAAUAUAUAAAUAAACAAAUAGAUUAUUUGUUUGUUUAUUUAUUGUGAGCUUUAUUGAGAUUUUGUUGGUGGGAGGAACGGGGAAAAACCCAGUGCUAUGUAUCAUGCCUGUGGAUCCAUCUUAUGGGAGGCUGAGGUGGAUGAAGUUUUGGGUUUAGCCUGGGCAACAUAGGGAGACUUUGUGAGAAGAUUAUGCUCAGGCCAUGGGUAUGGCCAUGGUGCCUUUACCUGCAACCAUCUUUCUGGCCCUCACUGUGCCAGACUUUAGAACCUCGUCUGAAGUCUGUCAUAUAAAUUAAAUGUUCUUAUCUUAGACUUCCUAGUACAUCUUUGAUUCCUGCAUGGCCCUCUCUGUGCCAUAGAGCAGGCUGUUAAGCAGAUGGGCUCAUCAGGGAGACCGAGGAGUUUGUGAUGUGUGCAUUUUUCCAAGGAGGGAAUCCUAGGUCAUUGCAGGCUUAGAAUCUCUCCUCAUAAGAAAAAGAAAAGCGAAAUGUUUAGAAUUAGGAGGUUUUUACUCUUCUCUAACAUGCAGAACCAGGGGAGCAAGAAAUAAGUUCCUGUAUUUUUCUCUUUGUCUUUUUUCUUUUCCUUUCUUUUUUUUCCUUUUAGAUGGUCUUAAAGGAUUUAGUCCAUUUGCGAGAAAAUCCAGUAUACUACUGAGAGUUUUGCCCUAAUGGUUUUGUUUUAGGUACUUUCUACCCCAAAGUUGAAGUUAGAUGUCAAAAGAUGUGAGUGUAAAUUUAUGCUGUUUUGUUUUGUGUGUUUUUCUUUUUUGAGUUAGACUUAUUUAGCUGUAGCUCUCUUGGAACUCUAGUAGAUGAGGCUGGUUUGGAGCUCACAGAGAUCCUCCUACCUCUGCCUCCCAGUGUUGGGAUUACAGGCAUGCGCCAUCUACUGUUGGUAUGUUAGGAGAGCACUGUACCAACUGAGCCUCAGGCUGUGUGUGUGUGUUGCUUAAGAUCGAACCCAGGGCCUAAUAAUAUACUAGGCAAGCAUUCCACUGAGCUGUGUCCUCAGACCUUUUCAGUUUUUAUUUAAACUUGUUUUGUUACCUUAGUUAAGAGCCACUAAUAAUAACUGUAAUAGGAGUUUAAAGGAAAAGGAUCUAUUUUACAGAGACUGCUUAUUUGUCUUGGUCAGAGGUAUUUGUUUGGUGGGGUUAUUUGUUUUCUAGAGACAAGGUCUCACUGUACACCAGGCUGGUCUUAAACUUGCAGCAAUCUUUCUGCGCUGUGUGCUGGUAUUAUAGAAGUGAACUGCCAUGUCCAGCUUGAAAUGUUAUUUUCAUGCUUCUAUAAGAAAAAUAGUUACUGGAGAUUUACAUCCUGCCUAAUUUCCCCACUUUUUGGUGGUGUAUAUGAAUUUAUUUAUUUAUUUAUUUAUUUAUUUAUUUAUUUUUUCGAGACAGGGUUUCUCUAUGUAGCCCUGGCUGUCCUGGAACUCACUCUGUAGACCAGGCUGGCCUCGAACUCAGAAAUCUGCCUGCCUCUGCCUCCCAAGUGCUGGGAUUAAAGGCGUGCGCCACCACGCCCGGCUGGAAUAUAUGAUUUUUGAAGACUUGUCUUACUUAAUCAUUUGAGUGAGAGGAGUUUUGGAUUUGUCCCAUUCAGUUGGCUGUUGGGUAAACAUGCAGGGCAUGUUUAGUGUGGCCAGUUUGACAACUCCAUUUGAAAAGCUGUGUGAUUUUUUUUUCUUUUCCUUAUAACCUUGUUUCCUACUAUUAUAACUAAGCUGUCCUCCUCUUAGGGUCACUUUACUUCUCGUGUGACAUCUUAGACCAGUGAAGCCAGUGUUUGCAAGCAGCACAUUUAUAUAGCUGUUAAGACUUCUGCUCCUCCUCAUUGUAUGCUCUGUUCCACUUGCUGCCAAUUCUGGUAAAGCAGUGGUUUUGUUAUGGUGACUGUUGUAUUAUAUGACGUGGGUAAGUUGCCAGUAGCAGUUUUCUUGGCCUAUGCCUAUAUGAGCUAUUAAGUUUGCCUUCUCUAUUCCCAAACCAGGGAAGAACUAACUAGCUCUUUCCACUUUUUAAAUGCAAGAGCAGGGAUUAGAGGACACUGAAGUGAAAAGCCUAAAUUUCACUCUUAGAGUAACUUAAAAAUGUCAGGAAGGGCUUUGAGACCACUGGCCCUGCUUAUAGAUCUUAUUUUCCAAGCCUUUCAUUAUUUUAUUUGCCCUUUUCUGAACUCUACAAUUUCCCUCUCUUGUAGCUGGUUCGAUGCCCAGACCUGAAUGCUGUGCUCCAGCUGUGGCCUCACCGGUGCUGAAUAGAGAGGAAGAGCCACCUUCAUAGCUUACAUGUGAUUCCUCUGCUUAUACAACCCAAUACUGGAUUUACUUACUUUGGCAAGAUAGCUGCAUUGUGCACUGUAUUUAAUGUUCCGUGUACUGUAACCCCGGGUCUUCCUCUGCAUUGCUGCCGUCACACCCUCAAUCCUACCAAUCUAAGUCUCCCGCCUUUGUUUGCCUGCCCUCCUCCCUUAGACUCCUCAUGCAUUCAUGCACAAUGAAUGUCAUCUUUUUAUUCUCUGAUUCCCUUUUACUUUAAUCUCAAACUCUUGACAAGACUUUUACUCUGUCCUAUAAAUUUUCAGCAGUCAGCCAACCUCCCUCCCCCUGCUUUGGUAAUGGAACGUUCUUUUCCGCUUGUAGCCCUGAAACCUAAGCAUUUGAUAUGGUGGAUUGAGUAAGCAUUCUGGCAUUUCUGAAUCGCAACGACUGGUUUGGCCCCUUGAAGUUGUUACCUUGCUUAGUUCUGUCUAGAUUUCCUUGACUCUUUAUGAGCUCUGUCUUGGUGGAUAGUAUAGUCUUACAGCUCCUCCUCCAGGGAGAUGAAAACGUACCACCAACAUCAAUGUACCAGAGAGAUUUCUCACAGUAAGGAAGUUAACUAUUAUCUUUUACUAGAGUAGCCUUUAGUAGUCUUAGAGUUCUCCAGUUGAAGGUGAACUUGCUGUACAUUUCUGAGAUGAGUGAGGUGAAUGAAGCAGUGAAGCAAGGUCCCUCAGUGUCAAUGGACUGUGCUUCACCAAGCAAGCCAGCCAGUGGAUCUUAGUGGAUUUGGUAGCUGACUCAAAUGGGAGCUGCAGCCUCAUCUUUCCUGCACUCUGGAGCGUCAUGAUCUCUGAUUUAGAGAAGUUUUUUAGUUGGUUUGUUUAGGAUUGUUGAUACAGCCGCCCAGUCUUUUAAUGAUAUGCUUUGAUUAAGCAUUUAGAGGCUAGUGUAUUGUAUAAUCUUUUCUGUGGGUGGUAAGAAUUGGAAGGUCUCCAAAUGUCCUUUUUAUCUAUGUGUAAGCUCUCAAGUGAAUCCUAGUGCAUCUAAGGGUAGCAGUUAAGCCGAUAUUUGAGUCCUCUCUGUCCCCACCUCCCAUCUUAGUGGCUAUGCCCUGUUUAAACAGACUGCCCUUAAAUUUGUGGUAUUUAUUAGACCUACAAAGUACUGAUUACAUGUAUUUAUAUCUGGAAGGAGAGAAAGUUGGUUUGGAAAUCUUUUUAAUGCAAUAUGAGUAUAUCAAGUUAGACAUUACCAAACACCUGGUAGAUGUCAACACAUUGUACUAAUUUUGAACAUGUGUCACAGGUGUAUACUACAAGUAAAAGGUGUUUAUAGCUGUCAGAGAUUGCUGGUUUCAGUAUUCACAGUUACAUAACCAAAGAAAAUUGUAAGCUCAAUUUGGUGGCUUGGAAAAAAAUGACUUUUCUCUGGUUUCUCCCCAUGUAUAUUUUAAAAACUUGCUGAAUCUAUUUUUGAUGAGAAUACAUGUUUGCAAUAUAGGAAGAAAAUGGUAGAGUUGCUGUGCCUUUCCUUGUAAGUAUGGCACCCUUCUUGGAAGGGAAUGUCAGUUUGGUUCCUUGGCUUCUGGGGUAACUCUCAGUGACCAUACUGAGUGGACUUUGCUGUUGUAGGGAGCCAAUAAGUGGUGAGAAGGGUAACGGUUUCCAUCUCCAUUUAUGGUCUUAGGAGGGGAAAUGGACAGGGUUGGGUCUCUAUUUAGUCUUUGGAGGAGUCAAGAGUGGUUGGGGUGUUCUUGGAGGCAGAAACUAGACAUUGUAAGAUAAAAAUAAAUUGUCAGAGGCUGUUUGCACUUCAGAUUCCGAUCUCUGCGAGGGUGAAGGGUGCUGGGAAAGGGGCGUGUAUGUGAAGUCAGAUGAUACUUAAAGUGCUUGUCUCUUUCCAUCGGGAGAUUUGACCAUGACACAUAUUUUCCAGGUUUUUGUUUCUGGAUUGUUUAAGAAAGUUUUGUCCUAUGGGGUCAAAAUUUUCUGUUACAAAAAGAAAGCCAAGAUGAUUUUUAAAGAGUUUAUGCAAAGCCUCAGUUUUCUGUAAGGAUCGUUUGAGGUGGUGGGAGAGAUAUUUUGAAAGGGAGAGUGGGUAGAUGCUCAUUUGGGGGUCCAAGUUGUAGGUGACUGUGUCUGAGGUAGAUCUCAUGGCUCAUGCUUUUAUUAUUAUUUUUGCCUAUUUGGAUUUCUGACCUCAGGGAGCAGACUUUUAAAGAGUCCUGAGGAAGUGUGUUUGUAGAUUGUUAACUUUGAUUUAAAGAUCCUGCGCAUGGAGAUCCAUAAAGUUCCAGACUUGUUUCAGUUUAGUGAGAAUAGGUCAUAUAUUGGUGGAUGGAAGGUAAUCUCUCCUUUAGGAGAGUCUUAUAGUCUUGGUAAUGCUUAUACGUUAGGUUAGAGAUAAACUAGUUUUAGCAGCUAAGUUAGAAAAUAUCUAGGAGCCACUAGGGAAAGGGGGUUUUGUCUCAAGCAAAUUCUGAGUGAAACCCUGUUACAGAGAAGGAGGAGACAGGAAGGAGAGCAAGGCAUUCAGAGACAAUGCACAGCCUGGACAUGGCUGGAUGUUUCAGUUGAGAGUAAGUCCUUGAUGUACUUCUGAUGUAUCUGGGAAGAUAGUAUGAGUGUACUAUUAAUUUCAGGAACUGAGCCAGACUGAAAUAUAUAGUAGAAAUAAAGACCAUUAAAAAAGGAAAGAGUUGAACAAGGCAGGUUAUUCAGGUUUUGUUUAAUAAGAGUUUACAUAAAGCAUUUACUCGCUGUACCAAGUAACAGAAAGACAUGAGAUGACUCCUUCCUCACCCUCCCUGAGAAGGACUGUCAGCCUUGUUUGUUGGUUUGUUGGUUUGUUUAGCUGGCAGUGUGAGUUGGUAGGUUAAUAAAAUGUAGGUAUUAGUGUACUGUUUUUUGGUCAUGUGUCUAAGACUAGGGACUUACGACAGACAUUAUUUUAUUGAUUUGAUUGCUCCUUCAGUUGUAGACAUUUUUACCGUGACAGAGUAAGUUAGGAAGGAACAGACUCUGUAAGUGACCUGUUUUGUUAGCUACUUCGUCUAGGCAGCUGUUUUUCCCCUGUACUUAACUAAGAGUAAGGAAGAUGUUUUCCACUUGGGGAAAUUCUUCUUUCU